GUUGUAUAGUCAAGUAAUUAAGUGCAUGUGGUGGAUGCCUUGGCAGUCAGAGGCGAUGAAAGACGUGAUAGCCUGCGAAAAGCUCCGGGGAGGCGGCAAAUAUCCUUUGAUCCGGAGAUGUCUGAAUGGGGGAACCCACCUACUUUAAGGUAGGUAUUGCAACAUGAAUACAUAGUGUUGCAAGGCGAACGAGGGGAAGUGAAACAUCUCAGUACCCUUAGGAAAAGAAAUCAAUUGAGAUUCCCUCAGUAGCGGCGAGCGAACGGGGAUCAGCCCAUUAAGUUAUGUGUGUUUUAGUGGAACGCUCUGGGAAGUGCGAACGUAGAGGGUGAUAUUCCCGUACACGAAAGGGCACACAUAAUGAUGACGAGUAGGGCGAGGCACGUGAAACCUUGUCUGAAUAUGGGGGGACCAUCCUCCAAGGCUAAAUACUCCUGACUGACCGAUAGUGAACCAGUACCGUGAGGGAAAGGCGAAAAGAACCCCUGUGAGGGGAGUGAAAUAGAUCCUGAAACCGCAUGCAUACAAGCAGUGGGAGCACCUUCGUGGUGUGACUGCGUACCUUUUGUAUAAUGGGUCAGCGACUUAUAUUCAGUAGCGAGGUUAACCGUAUAGGGGAGCCGUAGAGAAAUCGAGUCUUAAUAGGGCGUUUAGUUGCUGGGUAUAGACCCGAAACCAGGCGAUCUAUCCAUGAGCAGGUUGAAGGUUGGGUAACACUAACUGGAGGACCGAACCCACUGUCGUUGAAAAGCCAGGGGAUGACUUGUGGAUAGGGGUGAAAGGCUAAUCAAGCCUGGUGAUAGCUGGUUCUCCCCGAAAGCUAUUUAGGUAGCGCCUCGGACGAAUACCAUAGGGGGUAGAGCACUGUUUCGGCUAGGGGGUCAUCCCGACUUACCAAACCGAUGCAAACUCCGAAUACCUAUGAGUACUAUCCGGGAGACAGACUGCGGGUGCUAACGUCCGUAGUCAAGAGGAAAACAAUCCAGACCGCCAGCUAAGGCCCCAAAAUCAUAGUUAAGUGGGAAACGAUGUGGGAAGGCAUAGACAGCUAGGAGGUUGGCUUAGAAGCAGCCACCCUUUAAAGAAAGCGUAAUAGCUCACUAGUCGAGUCGGCCUGCGCGGAAGAUGUAACGGGGCUAAAACUAUGUGCCGAAGCUGCGGAUGUAUACUUUGUAUACGUGGUAGGGGAGCGUUCUGUAAGCCGAUGAAGGUGUGUUGAGAAGCAUGCUGGAGGUAUCAGAAGUGCGAAUGCUGACGUGAGUAACGACAAAACGGGUGAAAAACCCGUUCGCCGAAAGACCAAGGGUUCCAGUCCAACGUUAAUCGGGGCUGGGUGAGUCGACCCCUAAGGCGAGGCCGAAAGGCGUAGUCGAUGGGAAAAUGGUUAAUAUUCCAUUACUUCUGUGUAAUGCGAUGAGAGGACGGAGAAGGCUAAAUCAGCCUGGCGUUGGUUGUCCAGGUGAAAGGAUGUAGGCAUGUAUCUUAGGCAAAUCCGGGGUACUCUAUGCUGAGAUCUGAUAGCAAGCUGUACUUGUACAGCGAAGUGGUUGAUGCCAUGCUUCCAGGAAAAGUCUCUAAGCUUCAGUUACACAGGAAUCGUACCCGAAACCGACACAGGUGGUCAGGUCGAGUAGACCAAGGCGCUUGAGAGAACUCUGCUGAAGGAACUAGGCAAAAUGGUACCGUAACUUCGGGAGAAGGUACGCUGUUGUUGGUGAUGGAACUCGCUUCCUGAGCUGACGACAGCCGCAGAAACCAGGCCGCUGCAACUGUUUAUUAAAAACAUAGCACUCUGCAAACACGAAAGUGGACGUAUAGGGUGUGAUGCCUGCCCGGUGCUGGAAGGUUAAUUGAUGGGGUUAGCGUAAGCGAAGCUCUUGAUCGAAGCCCCAGUAAACGGCGGCCGUAACUAUAACGGUCCUAAGGUAGCGAAAUUCCUUGUCGGGUAAGUUCCGACCUGCACGAAUGGCAUAAUGAUGGCGGCGCUGUCUCCAGCAGAGGCUCAGUGAAAUCGAAAUCGCUGUGAAGAUGCAGUGUACCCGCGGCUAGACGGAAAGACCCCGUGAACCUUUACUGCAGCUUGACACUGAACUUUGACCUUACUUGUGUAGGAUAGGUGGGAGGCUUUGAAGCUGGAACGCUAGUUCCAGUGGAGCCGUCCUUGAAAUACCACCCUGGUAAUGUUGAGGUUCUAACUCUGUCCCGUGAUCCGGGACGAGGACCGUGUCUGGUGGGUAGUUUGACUGGGGCGGUCUCCUCCUAAAGAGUAACGGAGGAGUACGAAGGUGCGCUCAGCGUGGUCGGAAAUCACGCGUAGAGUAUAAAGGCAAAAGCGCGCUUAACUGCGAGACCCACAAGUCGAGCAGGUACGAAAGUAGGUCUUAGUGAUCCGGUGGUUCUGUAUGGAAGGGCCAUCGCUCAACGGAUAAAAGGUACUCUGGGGAUAACAGGCUGAUACCGCCCAAGAGUUCAUAUCGACGGCGGUGUUUGGCACCUCGAUGUCGGCUCAUCUCAUCCUGGGGCUGAAGCAGGUCCCAAAGGGUAUGGCUGUUCGCCAUUUAAAGAGGUACGCGAGCUGGGUUUAGAACGUCGUGAGACAGUUCGGUCCCUAUCUACCGUGGGCGCUGGAAAUUUGAGAGGAUCUGCUCCUAGUACGAGAGGACCAGAGUGGACGAACCUCUGGUGUACCGGUUGUGACGCCAGUCGCAUCGCCGGGUAGCUAUGUUCGGAAGGGAUAACCGCUGAAAGCAUCUAAGCGGGAAGCCUACCUCAAGAUAAGAUUUCCCUAGGACUUUAUGUCCUCUAAAGAGCCGUUCGAGACUAGGACGUUGAUAGGUUGGAUGUGGAAGCAUAGUGAUAUGUGAAGCUGACCAAUACUAAUUGCUCGUGAGGCUUGACUAUACAACACCCAAGCAGUUG
rnacentral:rRNA from 1 species